rnacentral:rRNA from 1 species
UACGGGGGGAGCAAGCGUUGUUCGGAUUUACUGGGCGUAAAGGGCGCGUAGGCGGCGCAACAAGUCACUUGUGAAAUCUCAGAGCUUAACUCUGAACGGUCAAGUGAUACUGUCGUGCUAGAGUGCAGAAGGGGCAACUGGAAUUCUCGGUGUAGCGGUGAAAUGCGUAGAUAUUGGGAAGAACACCGGUGGCGAAGGCGGCGACCUGGUCCGUGACUGACGCUGAGGCGCGAAAGCGUGGGGAGCAAACAGG